GGCAGAGAGAGCUCGACUCCCGUGGACAAUCUGUCCAUGAGGAAAGUCCCCCCACCGUUCGAACAGGUGACCGGGUGUAAGCCCGGAGUCGGAGACGGCUGGCUCUGGAACAGAAACGAGACCACUCGAUCUGACCGAUGAGGUGUGCGAACGGACCCGUAAGGGAACGGAGAUAACCCACCGAGGGCCGGGAGAUGCCGCAUGGCAUCUCCGUACGCGAACAGACACACCGUGUCUGUAAGCCGACGAUCGAGAAUGGAUGGAACGGUGAAUCCUCACUGGUGCAAGUCCGCGCUCGGUAUCACGGUUGAUGCAAUCAGCAUCGAUCGAGAUACCAAGGUAGUUCGAACACGGCGACGGACGCUGAGCCGAAUGUCGAGUUGAAACAGAAGGGGGCUUACUCCUCUCAGCC
rnacentral:RNase_P_RNA from 2 species